rnacentral:rRNA from 1 species
GAUGAACGCUGGCGGCGUGCCUAACACAUGCAAGUCGAGCGAACAGACGAGGAGCUUGGGCCGCUGGGGUUAGAGGCGGACGGGAGAGUAACAUGUGGAUAACAUACCUAUAAGAAAGGGAUAACUUCGGGAAACCGGAGCUAAGACCGGAAAAUAUAUUGAACAGCAUGGUGCAAUAGUGAAAGACGGUUUUGCUGGCGCUUAUAGAUGGAUCAGCGCCGCAUUCGUUAGUUGGUAAGGUAACGGCUUACCAAGGCAAGGAUGCUUAGACGACCUGAGAGGGUGGUCGGCCAGACUGUGAGUGAGACACGGUCCAGACUCCUACGGGGGGCAGCAGUAGGGAAUCUUGCGCAAUGGACGAGAGCCUGACGGAGCAACGCGGCGUGAGUGAUGAAGGACUUCGGCUGGUAAAGCUCUGUUAUUAGGGAGGAUGAAAUGUGUUUUUAGCUGUGCACAUCUUGACGGUACCUGAUGAAGAAGCCACGGCUAACUCCGUG